CAGAAAUUCAGCAUUCAUGCAUCUAGAAGUGAGGAUGUCUGGUACAGCAUGUACUACUCAGGGAAAAGCUACUUCCAUAUGAAAGGAGGCUUCAGAAAAGCACGUGUAAUUUACCUAGCCAACGUAAAUGAGGAUGGGAAAGUGACUUACGUGCUGUUGGCCCUAGCCCCAGCUCCAGACCAUGAUCUGACCCCCAAUGACUAUAUGCAU